rnacentral:lncRNA from 1 species
UUUGGUUCGUGACUAACUUUAGGCAGCCACAAAAAGUGUGGCGAGGUUCCCUGAGCUUGCCAUACUUUUUUUCGCCGCAUCUGGGGCGCUCGUUUUCGAUGCCCCAGCACCGCUACGCGCCGCACUUCGCCCCCUUCUCUCCCUCUCAUGCCGCUGGUUGAUCUCUCGUCAUCUCCUCCUCCAAGCACGGAUCUUCUCGUCGUCUCCUCCAAGCACGGUGAUGUCCCUCGUAUUUCUGCCACCCGGUUUUCUUGGCUCCCCUGUAUUCUUCUUCGCUCCUCCGCGUAGAUCUGCCCGUCGUUUCUUCUUUGAUUGUGCGGGCCGACGGCACCACACACGCACCCACCCCCAUCCUGCAGCAGAUCCGCACGGCACCACACACGCAGAUCCCCACGGCACCCUACAGCAGACCUCUGCAUUUCACAGUCCCCAGGCCGCUAGGGGCUAGAUGGCUAGUCGGAGCGUCGGGCUCUGCUGCUAGGGGUAGCGUCAGGCUCUGCCGUCACAUCUAGGAGACGCUUGGUGUGAAGGAGAUGUCUGUACGUGCCAUGGCAUCUAGGAGCUUGGAUGGCUGGUGUGAAGGACUAGUACGUUGUCUGUUGAAUGCUAGUGAUGGCUGGUGUGAAGGAGCAGCAGCAAGCCAAGUACUACUACUCUGAAACUUUGUAAAAAUAUAUCAGGUUCCUGUUUUAGCUGGCCGCUAGCUGAUGCAAAGGUGUGCUGGAUCAGAAACCUGUUUUAGCAGCUGGAAUGUAGGAAAGAAUAUUUCUUAUUUUAGCAGCUGGAAUGUAGGAAUGCAUAGUUCUUCUAAUAGUUCUCUCCCUCAGAGCCUAACGAUUUAUUUUUUUCUUGUGCUUGUGCAGGACCAGGAGCACUGAAAUUCUAUCUCAACCGGUUCUGCCGACUGGGUAACUUGAAUUCUAAAGGUAACUGAAAUUCUAGCCUCUGAAACUUGCAUUUUGGGUAUUUUAAAGAUUGUAAUUAGUUUCUAAUUUGUCUAGAUGGGUGUGAAGGAGAUGUAUCUUCAAUAUUACAAUAGUUACAUCCAGUACCUACGAAGAAGAAGGGUGCUUAUUUACAUUACCAUUUGUGUGGUUUUUCUUUGGUACAAACUGAAUAGAUUACAUAGGAAGAGUGUUAAAUAUGGUCCUUUGUUACAACGAGAUUUGGAACGAGAGAGGCGGCUCAACCGGUUGUAUAAUGGGACAGAAGCCAAUUGUAUUAGUGAGUUGCGCAUGCGCAAAUUUGUUUUCCAUAGGUUAUGUAGCCAUUUAAGGUCUCGUAGGUUGUUAGAGGAUACUGUCAAUGUCUCUGUUGAAGAACAAGUUGCUAUGUUCUUAAAGUUUGUUGGUCAUAGAUGGACAAAUAGGUCAGUUGGGUUUGAAUUCCUGCGGUCCGGAGAAACAGUUAGCAGGUACUUCAACCUUGUUUUAGAUGCUCUAUGUGUCAUGUCACGUGACCUCAUUACCAUGAGAACCACAGGGACACAUCCAAAGAUAUCUAGUAGUCCGAGAAGAUUUCACCCGUACUUUGAG